rnacentral:rRNA from 1 species
AUUGAACGCUGGCGGCAGGCCUAACACAUGCAAGUCGAGCGGGGUUUUCGGAUCUAGCGGCGGACGGGUGAGUAAUGCGUAGGAAGCUACCCGAUAGAGGGGGAUACCAGUUGGAAACGACUGUUAAUACCGCAUAAUGUCUACGGACCAAAGUGUGGGACCUUCGGGCCAUAUGCUAUCGGAUGCGCCUACGUGGGAUUAGCUAGUUGGUGAGGUAAUGGCUCACCAAGGCGACGAUCCCUAGCUGGUUUGAGAGGAUGAUCAGCCACACUGGAACUGAGACACGGUCCAGACUCCUACGGGAGGCAGCAGUGGGGAAUAUUGGACGAUGGGCGCAAGCCUGAUCCAGCCAUGCCGCGUGUGUGAAGAAGGCCUUCGGGUUGUAAAGCACUUUCAGUAGGGAGGAAGCGUUGUGUGUUAAUAGUACACAGCGUUGACGUUACCUACAGAAGAAGCACCGGCUAACUCUGUGCCAGCCGCCGCGGUAAUAC